rnacentral:lncRNA from 1 species
GACCCCAAGAAACCAAAGGGCAAGAUAUCUACUUAUGCCUUCUUUGUGCAGAUGCGCAGAGAACCUAAGAAGAAAAACCCAGUGGUCCCUGUCAAUUUUGCAGAAUUUUCCAAGAAGUGCUCUGAGAGGUGGAAGACCAUGUCUGGGAAAGAGAAGUCUAAAUUUGAUGAAAUGGCAAAGGCGGAUAAAUUAUGCUAUGAUCAGGAAAUGAAGGAUUACAUACCAGCUAAGGGAGGCAAGAAGAAGGAUCUUAAUGCCCACAAAAGACCACCAUCUGGAUUCCUCCUGUUCUGUUCAGAAUUCUGCCCAAGAUCAAAUUCACAAAGCCUGACAUCUCUAUUGAAGAUGUGGCAAAAAAGCUGGAUGAGAUGUGGAAUAACUUAAAUGACAGUGAAAAGGAGCCUUACCUUACUAUCACCAAGGCAGCAAAGCUGAAAGAGAAGUAUGAGAAGGAUGUUGCUGACUACAAGUCUAGAAAGCUUGAUGGUGCAAAAGGUCCUGCUAAAGUUGCCCAAAAACAAGUGGAAGAGGAAGAUGAAGAAGACGAGGAGGAAGUAAAGGAGGAGGAUGAA